rnacentral:rRNA from 1 species
AGUGAACGCUGGCGGUAGGCCUAACACAUGCAAGUCGAACGGCAGCACAGAGGAGCUUGCUCCUUGGGUGGCGAGUGGCGGACGGGUGAGGAAUACAUCGGAAUCUACUCUGUCGUGGGGGAUAACGUAGGGAAACUUACGCUACUACCGCAUACGACCUACGGGUGAAAGCAGGGGAUCUUCGGACCUUGCGCGAUUGAAUGAGCCGAUGUCGGAUUAGCUAGUUGGCGGGGUAAAGGCCCACCAAGGCGACGAUCCGGGGCUGGUCUGAGAGGAUGAUCAGCCACACUGGAACUGAGACACGGUCCAGACUCCUACGGGAGGCAGCAGUGGGGAAUAUUGGACAAUGGGCGCAAGCCUGAUCCAGCCAUACCGCGUGGGUGAAGAAGGCCUUCGGGUUGUAAAGCCCUUUUGUUGGGAAAGAAAUCCAGCUGGCUAAUACCCGGUUGGGAUGACGGUACCCAAAGAAUAAGCACCGGCUAACUUCGUGCCAGCAGCCGCCGUAA